UCUGGGAUUAGAUACCCCACUAUGCCCAGGAUAUAAACCUGCGAACCUCUCCGCCAGAAAAUUACGGGCGAAAGCCUAAAACUCAAAAGACUUGACGGUGCCCCACCAACCUAGAGGAGCCUGUUCCAUAAUCGACAACCCCCGAUAAACCUUACCCCCUCUUGAAAUAUCAGCCUAUAUACCGCCGUCGUCAGCUUACCUCUCAAAAGCCCCCAAGUAAGCCAAAUAGUUUAAUACUAGAAAGUCAGGUCAAGGUGUAGCCUAUGAGGCGGUGGAAAUGGGCUACAUUUUCUAUAAUAGAUAAUACGAAUUCUUAUAUGAAAAAAACAUAAAGGCGGAUUUAGCAGUAAAUUAGGCAAGAAUACCUAAUUUAAUAUAGCUCUGGAGCAUGUACACACCGCCCGUCACCCUCCUCAA
rnacentral:rRNA from 1 species